UAAAACCUGUAGAUCAAAUCCACAUCACCUGAAUGCAACUCAGACACUUUAAUUAAAUUAAGGCUUU
rnacentral:tRNA from 1 species